CUGGUAUACCUCUGUUUCUAUUUUGUUUUAUAUGACAUGUUUCCUUCAAUGGUUUUUGGUAUUGUCUUGUCUAAUCUUGUUAUUUCUUUCUCUGAAUUAGAUCUGCCCAAUAUUUCUGGAUAUUUUCUUUUAAUUUGUGCUGAAAAGAAUCACAUCUUUGUAUGUUUGAAAACUCUAUUGUUUCAAUUUUUUUUACUCUUAGUGACAUGGUCUUAUGAUUAUAGAAAUGUCAUGACAUACUUAAAACCACAAGUUCUCGGUAAAAUUUAGAUAUAUAUGAAAAUAAAUUCUUUCUUUCGUGAACGCUGUACUCAAUCCAAUAAUACUAUGUAAACAGGGAGAAUAAUUUUUGUUUCACUUACUUGCAUGUAAAAGGUGGUGAGUUGGGGUCAAUUGGAAAGACACCUGGAGCACUUGGAGUGCCUGGAUAAAUGAUAGGUGUAGUGGGGGUGGUAGGAGUCGGGGAGUAACCACCCCCUGGAGUGCUUGGAGUUCCGGGGUCAAUGGUAGGAGUAGGUGGUGUUUCAAUGAUUGGAGUAGUUGGGGUAGUAGGUGUAGGGGAAGGAUAGUAACCACCACCCCCUGGAGUGCUUGGAGUACCAGGGUCAACGGUAGGCGUAGGUGGUGUUUCAAUGGUAGGUGUAGAGGGGGUGGUAGGUGUAGGUGUAGGCGAAGGAUAGUAGCCACCACCACCUGGAGUGCUUGGAGUUCCGGGGUCAGCGGUAGGAGUAGGUGGUGUUUCAAUAGUAGGUGCGGAGGGAGUGGAUGGUGUACUAGGGGUACUAGGUGUAGGAGUACUUGGAGUCGGGGAAGGAUAGUAGCCACUUCCACCCCCUGGAGUACUUGGAGUGCCAGGGUCUGGAGUUGGGGUUACAACAGGUGUAGAGGGGGUGGAUGGUGUACUAGGGGUACUAGGUGUUGGAGUACUAGGAGGGCUUCCUCCACCAUGAUGAGCUGGUGGAGAGGGAGAAUAACCACCACCUCCAUGACCGCCUGAUGGAGGAGAUGGGGUAGGGUUAUGGUGAUGAUGAUGCCCUCCACUAGGGGGAGUCGGGUUACCACAGUUACCACCUGGUGGGUUUCCUCCAUGACCACCGCUUCCAUGCGAAGGUGUUCCAUGACCACCUCUUGAACCAUGAGAUGGAGGUGUGUAUGAACCUGUCAAUCAUAAAAAUAUACUAUGAGUGCAAAAUGCUUAUAUAUAAAAGAGGAUUGGAUUUAUAUACAUUGACAAUAGCGCAAAGAACUUUUAUACUGUCCGUAGGUUUUAACUUGUUUAUAGCAUGUAAUAUGUCUUAUUUUCAUGUUAUGGCAUACUGUCCAUAUGUUUUACUGAACUACUAGUAUAUAAUUUAUUUUACUGUAUCAAAGCAUAGAAGUUAGUUGAAACAAUCUGUGAAGUAAAGCUCACGUCUCCAAAUUGCUUUGUUUCUUAAUUUGGUCUCCUUGCCAGUAAUAAUUUUUGCUACUUCCAGCAAUAUUAGCCGACAUUUGGCUCAUAAAGUGUUUAAACAAAUCAUUUUAGCUUUUGCCAAGACUUUAAAGUAGUUAGUAACAAGAAUUCCAUCAUGAAACCAAAAACAACAUAAGUUGUGCGAACUCUGCACUUUCAAUGACACACCCGUAUCGGAUUCUUCAAACAUACACUAUUUUUGAAGAAUCCGACACACACCUAUUGAUAUUUUGAAGAGUACCAGCAACAUAAAAAAAUAACAUAUAGGAUGGAGAUGUGAGGAAAGAAGUUAAAGACCUGAACUUGGAGGAGUUCCGGUAUUCGGAUCAGGAGAGUAAUAGGUCUUUUGUUCUCCAAAAGAAGCUCUAGACAUAACAGGAAUAACGAAGUUUUGUGUGAGCAAUGCACAAACAACAGCCCACAAAAUUACAGAUUUUUGCUUCCCCAUCUUUGUUUGCUUCCAAAGACAAAAAAAUGCAGGGUGAAUAAACAGUGAGAGCAAGGAAGAGUUCAGUGAUGUGAAGUGACGAAACAAAGGAGCUGCAUAUUAUAAAGGGCUAAUGACAGUGAGAGAAGUAAAUAUACGCAGGUAAAGAGUAUGCGGUUAGUUGUGUAUGCUGCAGGUGCAUUUAAGGUGUCAUUUAAAUCUCACUACUGUGCUGUAAGUAAUUACAUGGAGGAAGUCCCUCCAUAACUUUAGGCAAGUUCAAAAUAUGUUCCAUGCCUAUAGUUAGUGGAACUGUGAAAACUCAAAAUCAACACUCACUGGCUAGAAACAACUCCCUUUGGAUACACUGCACGUAAUAUUUAAUGGUGUAUUGGUGAUAUUUCCCCAUGUUACACUACUUAUGAGUGCGACUACUAAAACCUUUUAACGUGAUACAAUUUAGGGUGCCCGUGCAGUACUUAUGUGUGUGACUAUAAAACCCCCUCUAUUUAAGAGUAUUAAAUAUUCUUUUUCAUUUAUUGUUCCUGUUAUGUAAUAUUGGUUUAAAUUAACUAUUGAACUUGUUUCAUAGCUUGUUCUUUUUGAUGAACUUGAUGAUUCUGGUUUUUUAUAAGCUAUUCUUUUUGUUGUACUUAUUCUAUCAUUUAUUAUUUCUAAAUCUUCUUCUAUGUCUAUAUUUCUGUAACUAUAAUCAUUAAUAUCAAUUGUUUUUACGAAUUGUUCAAAAGGACUUUCUAUUUGUAUUUUAUUAAUUUUAUUUUUUCCUAUUAUUUUAUGUUUUGUUGUUAAUACAUAUAGAUUUUUAGAUCUUGCUGUAAAUAUUUUACUUCCUGGGGUUAGUUCUAUUCCUGAUAUUUUCCAAUAUAAUACUAAUGAUUUAUCUAUAUUCUUAUCUGUUAUUGCUACUGAAUAAUUCGCAUUUAUUAUAAAUUAAAAUUUUUGGUAUAUUAAAUUUCCUUUUAUGACAGUUAUUAUACUUUUUUCUAUAGGUUUUAUAAUUCUAUCAUCUGCUAAAUAUAAUUCUAUUGGUGUGUUCCUACUAUAUAUAUUUUUUAUUGUUGGUAUUUUAAAUAUUUUUUCUACACUUAAGUCUAACUCUUUUUCUUUUAUUUCAUCAAAUAUAUUAUUAUCAAAUAUUAUUUUUUGAUCUGUUCCUUCAUCAUUUAAAUAUUCUUCUUUUGUUAUUAUUUUUAUAUCAUCUUCAGUUAUUUUGUUUAUUUGUAUAUCUUCUUCAGUCAUUUAAUUUGUCUAAUUCACUAUCUAUUUCAUUAUCUUCUAUUUCAUUAUCUGUUUCAUUUUCUGAAAUUUCAUAUAUAUGAUCUUCACUUUCUAAUUCGUAAUCUAUAUAAUCUAUCUGCAUAUAUUCUGUAUUUUCUAUUUUUAUUUCUGAUAUUUGUUUAUUUUUUGGGUUUUUAAUGUGACACAAUUUGGGAUUUGCAUAGUCAUAAGUUGCUUAGACUCUUCACUUUCAGUGAUGUAUUUGUGUCACGAUAUGGAUGUGUCACGACCCAAGCCGAGGCCCUGGCUGUGACGGACAUCCCAGACCAUAGAGGCCCGAGAGACCCCUUAGUAUACUAUCAUAAAGAUAAUUCAUUCAACAAAAUGUGGAAGAUAUAAUAAAAUCUUAAAGAAUCUUUUAACUAAACUUUGUCAACAAAGUCAUAACAAAACGACAACCCAAAUCCAGUCUACGAAGCUUCUACUAAUGAUUGUCUGUCCAAGCCGGGACAAGGUCCCCGGCUGGAUGACAAAACUGAAAACAACUAUAAUAGUAUUAAAGACCUUCCGAAAAAUGGAGGUCUUACCAACUCUGAAACCUGAGGAAAUUCUAUUGCUGCGCAGGAUCAUGGGACUGAGCCUCAGAACCUAAAUUAUGAGACAAUGCAACCUUUUAAGGACCGCCACUACUUGAAAUGUAUUGGUAUGCAGAACAAUCGAAAAAUAUCAUUUAUUUAAUAUAUAAAAAUUAAGAACAAUGGGAAAACACUUUAACAUAAUGAAGAUCAAAACACAAGGGCUCUAAAAGCUUCAACAUAUCUCUUAAAGACAUAAUCUUGAAUCUUUUCUAUACUUUUGAGCUAGAUGGCAUCCCAACCUUUCUGCUACCCACGGGCUAUAUGGGUCCGGCGGAAACUUGUCGGUCAAGCCUUCAAUCUGAGUUUACCACAGAGAUUGGACUCUCUAUAUUCUAUUCUAGCAUGCUAGUGUCUGAGGCAAGUAUACAUUGACCAUCCAUAUAUUAUGAUGAUCUUCCCGCGUCGACCAGACAUGGUUUUAGGAUGUAAGCUUUUCAACUCACGCCUUCUCGGUUAACCAUCUAACUCUCUUAAAGACCAUUUUUAACCACUUAAAAUCACACUUAUAAAAGUUGUUAUCAUAUUCUAUUAAGGGUAUUUCAUAAAGAGGUAUCGCCAUAUGUCGACUUGCAAACCAUAUCAUAUCAUAUCAUAUCAUAUCGUAUCCGUAGCCCUUCUUUCAAAAACAUGCAUCAUUGACCACCAUACUAAUUCAUAUAUUAAACAAGAUUUCUUAUUUCCAAAUGGGUAUACAAGUUUAAACAAAACCUUUUUCCCUUUUCAAGACUUAAAUGUUAGGUGGUCAUCUUCUUUUAUAGUUCAUGCACUUUUCAUGAAAAAUAAGAGCAUUUAAACAUACCCAUACUUUCCAUAUUCAUAUCAUCAAACAAUGCAUAAUUUGACAAAGAAGACAUUUGCAACAUCAAUAUUUUCAUUUGUUCAUGUAACACCCCGAUUAUCUGAACAAAAAUGCUACACGGUGCUUAUGACCCCGAGGGACCACGAGCGAAACCAUGCUAAUAUCUGUACCUGUACACUGUAAUAUACAACAUAAUAGUGCGAAAAACAUGAACAUGUAGGCCAUAAGAUUCAACUGAAUAAAAAUCUGUAAAAACAUAAUAUCCAUAUGGGUGAAAGAUACCCAAAAAAACUAAAAACUGAAUCAAAUCUGAACUAAAUCUGAAUACUGAAUUUGAAAACCUCUAAGUACUGUCUGAAUAAGGAGUUGAAGGAAUAUAUCUCCAACUAACUCCAUCUAACAAAACUGAGCUGAAAUAAUAAAUAAAAUAAAAUAAUAUCGUCCUCGAAUAGAUAAGGACUCACUGCAACUCUGCGGCUGGAUGCUGCUGCUGAUUUGGAGCUCGUGUCUCUGAACCUAUAGUGUAACAUGAAAGAAAGAACCAUAGUGCAAAUGCGUCAGAACAACUGGAGUACUGAGUAUACAAGUGAGGUAGGCUAAUGCAAAAGGGUUUACAUGCAUGAACAAUGCUAAUUGACUGACUGAUAUGAACGUGAGAGUGUAAACAUACAUACAUAGUAACUGAUAUCGUGAGUACGUGAUAGCUAGAUAUGCACGCUAAUACAUAGUUUAUUGAUAGCUGACAUGGCUGAAACUGUAGUUCUUAUAACAUGGAUGACUAUAUCUGACAGUCUUAAAUCUGAUGGAACUAUCUGAGUUCUGCACUAUAACUGAAUUUGACUGUAUCUGACAGUCCUAGUAUACUGAUAACUGAAGAACUAUCUGAGUUCUUUUACUGAGACUGAGUCUAAAACUGUAGAAGGUAGCUGUUUAACCAACAUGUCCCAUAUAUGCCAUUAUGGCUAAGCUGGGGUCCAAUCUCUGCCCUGACUGGAAGGGUGUCAAUACCGCGCCACUAGUAAGGACAAUAUGUGAGCAAUCCUCAUAUAAAAGGUAAUUAUAGUGAGAAUGGUGGGAACCCUCAUAUAAUAGGUUAAGCCACCUCAUCUACCCUCAUAUAACAGGCUAUGAUGUCUCAACCUAUGCUAGCUACAUAGUUCUGGAACGCAAGGAUAACUGCUAAGAAUCACACCCUCAUAUACAGGUGAGUUCCCAUCCUUGGGUUAACUCGGUGCUAACUCCUACUCCCAUCUGGAGAGAUUGAACAUGAUUUAACUAACUGUACGUGAGUGGAACUUACUGAAUUCCAUUGACUGACAGAAUACUACUGAUAUCUGAUAACUGACUGAGACCAUGAAGUUUUCUGAGUCACAUGACUGACUGAAUUCUACUGAAUCAUGGCUUGAUUUUGUAUAUCGUGAAACAUGACAUAGCUCUAGGCACACAUCUAUAGUUUUUGGGUAUGAAUACCCCCAGGAAUCGAUGGAAGAAAAUUGACACAACAUGACUGACUUGAUCAUAAGAUUCGAGCCCAUAAUUCACAUUAUCAUAAAUAGGGGAUAUUAUACACCAUGUAGUUCCUCAACUUAUUAAGCAUGGUAGGGAGUGCAUAGCUAUAUUUCAUAUGCAUAUUAUAUAUCUCCAUUAUCACACAUGCUUCAUACCACAAUAAUAGCAACACAUGAAAAGCAUAAAAUUCAUAUUAAAGUAUAUAGCUAACAUGGACUUGUCAUUUAGACAUCGUGGAACCAUAUAAACAUGAAUUUCUAGCAUCCUAAGCAUUUUAUUGAACACCUUGCAUGAAUUCUUUAAGGCAUAGGUGUGUUUCAUAACUUGUACCAUUUUACACUACCUAAAGUUCAUAGUUUUCAACUAACAAGCAUAUACAUUCCAUGAAAACACCUCUAGAUAUAAUCUUGAAACUUAAACAACAAUCAUCAACCUAUACGUGCUUAUAUCACCACCAAAAGUUCACAAAAUAGUAUUUAAAACAUGGUUCUUAAGCUCUAUGAACGGAUUGGAUCCAUAGAUGAACACUACGCAUACCUUAGAAGGAAGAUUCUUGAUGAUUGACGGAGGAAUUUUCUUGAAAUUAGAUCUUCAAGCUUGAUUGUGUAACCCUAGUUGUUUUUCUCCUAUUGUGCUCUUGGAUAAAGAACUUUGAGAUAUUAAUACGGUUGUAAUGUGUUUAGUAGCUAUAAAUUUCGUAAAGUUAAGUUUAGGGACGUGCACGGAGUGUUAAAAUACUUAAUUAUCCCUAAACUAUCUCAAAAACUAAGUGUUUUCGUGGAUGAAAUCAUAAGUGCGCGUCACAUACCACAUCGCACAUGCUAAGAUGUGCUCCACACAUCUUAUCAUACAAGCUGAGGUGUGCAUCGCACAUGCUAUCGCACAACUGAGGUUGUGCGCCGCACAUGCCAUCGCACACUUGGUCCAGUAGCCAUGUGUGAUUUGUUAGGCAUCACACUCCUCUUUGCAAGGCCAUAACUUCAUGCUCGGGUGUCGUAUUUUGGUAAAAUUGGUAUCGUUGGAAAGAUAAUUCGAUUCACUACAAUUUAGUAGGUCUAAAUCUGCCAAAAUAUCACAUAUCAAUGAAGUUAUCCUCGUUCAAAGGUUUCUCUUGUGGAAUCACACACUAAAACUUGAUGGAUUCAAAAGCUAUUAACUUGCAUUACUCUAAGUGACUCAUAUGAGCAUGCUUAACACAUAAUAAUCUAUCUUAUAGAUAGAAUACUCAUUGUAAGUCAUGCACUAAAAUGUGAAUCACAGGAUAGGAGGUUUCAUAUAUAGGAAAACUGGUUCACUUCCUAGCUUAUCAACAUACGAGGUAUUACAAUAUCUCCCCCUUGGGAACAUUCGUCCUCAAAUGAGAAUUUACCGAGAGGACUAUUACCUUGAGCUUGAUCUGAAUUGGCAGAGAAGAGGUGAGGAUACUUGGUACGCAUAUCUGCUUCUGUUUCCCAAGUAGCUCCCUCAUGAGACUAAUUUUGCCAAAGAAUUUUAACUAGAGGGACUUCUUUGUUCCUCAAUCUACGAGUCUGGUAGUCCAAAAUUUUGACUAGAAUCUCUUCGUAAGGAGGUUGUUCUGAAUGUCACUGCUCGGAAUAGGGACUACAACUUUUAGGUCACCUAUACACUUCUUGAUCAAAGAGACAUGGAAGAUGGAUGAAUGGAGGAUAGAUUUGAAGGUAAUUGGAGCUCAUAAGCUACCUUGCCAAAGCAACUGAGAAUCCUGAAGGGACCGACAUAGUAGGACUGAGUUUCCCUUUCUUGCCGAACCUCUUCACUCCCUUCAUGGGAGAGAUCUUAAUAUAGACAUAGUCAUUGACCUCGAACUCGAGAUCCUUCCUAUGAACAUCCACAUACAACUUUUGUCGGCUCUAAGCCACCCCAAGUCUUUCUCUGAUCGACUGAACUUUCACUAAGGCAUCGAACACUAAGUUAGGACCUAUGUCUGAGGCCUCACUAACUUCAAACCAACCAAUUAGAGAUCUACAUCUCCUACCAUAGAGAGCUUCAAAUGGAGCCAUCUGAAUACUGGAAUGAUAGCUAUUGCUGUAUGCAAACUUAAUCAAGGGCAAAUGGUCGUCCCAACUUCCCUUGAAAUCAAUUGUACAUGCACUUAGCAUAUCUUCAAGAGUCUGAAUGGUCCUCUCUGCUUGACCAUCUUUCUAAGGAUGAAAUGUUGUAAUAAGAUGGACUUGGAUACCAAGACCCUUUUGGAAUGCUUUCUAGAAGUGAGAGGUGAACUGGGUACCUCUGUCUGAGAUGAUAGAUAAUGGAACACCGUGUAAUCUGACCAACUCCCUGAUAUAGAGUUUGGCGUAGUCCUCGGCUGAAUAAGAAGUAUGAACUGGAAAAAAAUGGGCUGAUUUGGUCAUUCUGUCUAUAAUGACCCAAACUGAAUCAUGCUGAAGACGAGUUCUAGGCAAACCCAUCACGAAGUCCAUAUUCACUUCUUCCCACUUCCAAGUAGGAAUGGUGAACUCCUGCAUAGAGCCACUAGGUUUUUGAUGCUCUAUCUUAACCUGCUGACAUAUAGAGCUCUUACCUACAAACUUUGCAACAUCUCUCUUCAUCCCACUCCACCAAUAUAUCUCCCACAAGUCGCAGUACAUCUUAGUAGCCCCUGGAUGAAUAGAGUAUCGUGUACCGUGUGCUUCUGCGAGAAUUCGCUGCCUUAAGUCAUCUACACCUAGAACACACAGACGACCAUGACAACGAAGAACACCAUCUCCCCCUUAGUAGAAAACUUCUACCUUCUGAUCCUGAGUAGACUCUUUUAGCUUAACAAGGCUAGGAUCCCUGCCUUGCUUCUCUUUCACCUUGGAAACUAGAGAUGACUCUGAACAUAUACACCACCCUCUGAAGAGUCAACUAAGCGAACACCUAGUUUGGCAAGCUGAUGGAUUUCCUAGGCUAUUUUUUUCUUGCUAUCCUCAACGUGAGAAACACUACCUAUAGAGAGUUUACUGAGAGCAUCAGCCAUAAGUUGGCCUUGCCCGGGUGAUAAAGGACACUCAUGUCAUAAUCCUUUAAGAGCUCUAACCACCUUCUCUGAUGAUGAUUGAGAUCUUUUUGAGAAAAAACAUACUGGAGACUCUUAUGAUCUAUGAAGACAUCUACAUGAACUCCAUAUAAAUAAUGCCUCCAAAUCUUUAAGGCAAAUACUACGGCUGCUAACUCAAGAUCAUGAAUAGGAUAAUUCUUCUCAUGGGACUUUAAAUGUCUAGAGGUGUAGGCUAUGACCUUACCAUGUUGUAUGAGGACAUAACCUAAACCCACUCUAGAUGCAUCACAAUAUACUACAAACCCAUCUGAACCAUCUGGAAGAGCUAGAAUUGGAGCUAAAGUGAGUCGAGUCUUCAAUUCCUGAAAACUCUUGUCGCAUGAAUCUGACCACUGAAACUUGACCUUCUUCUGAGUCACUCUGGACAUGGGAGAUGCAAUAGAAUAAAAUUCCUUGACAAACUGUCUGUAAUAUCUAGCCAAACCUAAGAAACUCCUGAUUUCUGAUAGAGAUAUGAGACGAGGCCCUUUUUUUACUGCUUCGGUCUUCUAAGGAUCUACUCUAACUCCAUCACUGGAAACAAUAUGGCUAAGUAAUGCUACUGAUCUUAGCCAAAAUUGGAACUUACUAAACUUGGCGAAUAAUUGAUGAUCCCUAAGUGUCUGAAGAACAAUCCUAAGAUGGUUUGAAUGAUUACGCUAGGUGCGAGAAUAGACAAGAAUAUCAUCUAUAAAGACUAUGAUGAACAUGUCCAAGUACUGCUUGAACACACGGUUCAUCAAGUCCAUGAAAGAUGUAGGGGCAUUGGUAAGAUAAAAGGACAUAACUAGAAAUUUAAAGUGACUAUACCGAGUACAGAAAGUCAUCUUCGGGAUGUCACAUUCUCCAACUCUGAGCUGAUGAUAGCCUGAUCUGAGGUCUAUCUUGGAUAAAUAACUGGAACCCUAAAGUUGGUCAAACAAGCCAUCUAUUCUAGGAAGUGGAUACUUGUUCUUGAUAGUGACUUUGUUGAGCUGACGGUAAUCAAUACACAUCCUGAGAGAACCGUCUUUUUUGUGCAUGAAUAAGACUGGUUCACCCUAUGGGGACACACUGGGCCUGAUAAAUCCCUGAGAUCCUUUAACUAAUCUUUUAGCUCUUUGAGUUCUGCAGGUGCCAUUCUAAAUGGCAAAAUAGAGAUAGGCUGAGUAUCUGGGAGAAGGUCUAUGCCAAAGUUUAUUUCCCUUUCGAGAGAAAUGCCUGGAAGAUCUUCGGCAAAGACAUCUACAUAUUAUUAACAACUGAAACUGACUCAAGGCUAGGAGAUUCAAAACUAGAAUCUUUAACAUGCACGAAAUGAUACACACACCCCUUAGAAAUAAUUUUCCUUGCUCGAAGGCAGGAAAUAAGAUGACCCUUGAAAGAUGAAGUACUACCCUUCCACUCUAGGAAAAAAUCAUUUGGGAACUGAAAUUGAACUAUUCGGGUCCUGCAAUCGACUGUAGAAUAGUAGGAAUGAAGCCAAUCCAUACCGAGAUUGACAUCAAAAUCAGUCAUUUCUAAUUCAACUAAAUCUACUGAUGUGGAUUUCUGAAAUAUCAUGGGCAGUUCCUUAUACCCGUCAAGCUAUGAUGAUUUUACCCACUGGGGUAGACACUGAAAAGGGCUCUGCUAAAAUUUUGGGACUGAUUCCAAAAUCGCAUGCUAUGUAUGGAGUGAAAAAAGACAAGGAUGCACCUGGAUCUAGCAAAGCAUAAACAUGAACAUGGAAAAUCUGUAACAUACCAGUAACGACAUCAGGAGAAUUUUCCUGAUCCUGUCGGGUCUGAAGAGUAAUCCUCUCUCGAAUAGUUAGUACUCAUAGGCAAAAGUGAGCGGACUUGGUCAUUCUAUCAACAAUAACCCAAAUAGACUCAUACUAGUUUUGGAAAAGCGGAAGUCUGGUAAUAAAAUACAUAUUGAUUAUCUUUCACUUCUACAUCGGUAAAGCUUUGUCUUGGGAGGUACCACCCAGCCUCAAGCGCUCAACCUUAACUUCAUGAUAAGUAUUUAACUUGAUGAUAAUUUAAAUACUUAUCCAUUAAUACUUAUAUUAUUCCACCAAUAUAUCUCCUAUAGGUCAUGAUACAUCUUAGUAGAUCUAAGAUGGACAACAUACCUAGCAACACGCACUUCAGUCAAAUCCUUCCCCACAACCCAUCAACAUCCAAAACACACAAACUCCCUUGAUACCUCAAGAUGCCUUAUCCCUCAACUUCAAAUUCUAUAUCCUUGUGGUGACCAACAUUUUUUAAUUUACAUUAAUAUGGGAUCAUUAGCUUGCUUCUCCUUAACCUCGGCACACAAGGAGAACUUAGACACUUCCUACAUGAUUAAUCUUCUAGCCUAGGAGUCUAAAGAGUCAACCCCCCAAAUUAUAAAGUCGGUGAAUAUAUUUAACUAGGUACCUCUUCUCCUUAUCUACAUGAGAAAGGUUUCCCAUAGAUAACCUAUUAAGAGCAUUAGCAACCACGUUAGCUUUGCUUGGAUAAUAGUGUAGGCUCAUGUCAUAAUUUUUUAAUAGCUCAAGCCACCACCUUUUCAUACGAUUCAGAUCAUUCUGAGUGAAAAUACAUAGUGUAAACUCUUAUGAUCGAUAAAUAUAUCAAAAUGCACCCCAUAAAGAUAAUGACGCCAAAACUUAAGUGCAAACACCACUGCUGCCAACUCUAGAUGGUGGUUGGGAUAGUUUUUCUCAUGGACUUCCAAUUGUCUAGAUGCACAAGCUAGCACCUUACCAUGAUACAUAAGUACACAACCAAGUCCCACCCGAGACACAUCAUAAGACAUAACAAACCCUUAGUGCCUUUGAGGAGGGUAAAAACCAGCGUAGUAGUCAACUUGUCUUUCAAUCUCUCAAAACUUCUUUCACAAGCCUUGGACCAUAAAAAAAUUAUCUUCUUCUGAGUCAACCUGGUAAGUGAAGAAGCUAUAGAUGAAAAACUCUCUAAAAAACUUAUAUAAUAUCCGACCAGACCUAAAAAACUCCAUCUGUCGGUUGGAGUAGUGGGCCUAGGACAUUUCUUCACUACUUUAAUCUUUUGGGGAUCAACCUUAAUCCUUUCACUAGAAACAAUAUCCCCAGAAAAGCUAUUGUACUUAGCUAGAAUUCACACGUAGAAAAUUUUACAUACAACUUUUGGUCCUUAAGUGUCUAAAGUACAAAUCAAAGGUGAUGGGCAUGCUCCUCUUCACUCCUGGAGUAAACUAGAAUAUCAUCAAUAAAAAGUAUGAGAAAUAAGUCCAAAAAUUUCUUAAAUAUCAUGUUAAUAAGAUCCAUAAAGGUUGUAGGUGCAUCAAUCGAUGUAAUACCCCAGGAAAUUUUUCGUUGAAAUUUUGUGCGUAAACGUGUUAGGUUCUAUCUUCUAGAAUGAAUUAUAAAUUUUCCAUGUGGAAUGUCUUAGAUUAUGACCCACCAUUGCGUAGAUUAUUGAAUAAUAUUUCCAAUGAUAUGUGGAUCAUCCAAAACGGACACCCGAGCAACGAGUUAUGAAUAUUUCGAUCGAACCGUGAAUAGUAGUGAAAGGUAAAACGUGCAGGAAAAAGUACUGAGGCCUGACGUAUUUUUCUCCAACUUUAAAAGAUCAUAACUCCUUGUACAUAAUAAUCUGGGUGAUCUACUAUAUAUCAAUGGAAAGCUCUGUGAGUCCUCUUUCCAAUAAAUUGGUUUCAUCCAAUUUGUCUAUCGGAGCAAAAAGUUAUGGUCGAUCUACUUCAGCCUAUCAAAAAUAAAUUUUUGGGACAACUUUAAAUGAUCAUAACAUCUCGUACACAAUGAUUCCGGUGAGAUACUAUAUAUCAAUGGAAAGAUAUGAGAGUCCUUUUUCUAAUAAAAUUUGUUUCAUCCAAUUUGGAUAUCGGAGUAAAACGUUAAGAUUGAUCUACUUCAGACUAUCAAAAUAGUCCACCAAAGGACAGAUUCGAGAAUUAUUUAAUUUUUAGGAGAGUUUUGGUCAUUCUCCCUCACCUAAAAUCCAUCUAAACCCUAUAUUAAAGCCUAUUAGUAGCAUUAUAUGUUAUAUUAAUCUAAAGUUCGUCAUUCAAGGUUUCUGAGGUUUUUCAACAAGAACUCUCUUUCGUUUUUAUGCCCAAAAGAACUUUUCUUUACAAAGGCAUAAUUUUUAUUUGAUUUUUACGAAUUUGAAGCAUGAACCCAUAUCUUAUGAUUAUUAUUAUGAAAUCUUGAUUUUUAUGAUUUUGAAAGAUGAAUUUACAUGUGUGGAGAUAUAAAGCAUGAAUNNNNNNNNNNNNNNNNNNNNNNNNNNNNNNNNNNNNNNNNNNNNNNNNNNNNNNNNNNNNNNNNNNNNNNNNNNNNNNNNNNNNNNNNNNNNNNNNNNNNNNNNNNNNNNNNNNNNNNNNNNNNNNNNNNUGGUUGAUUUUGAUAGAUGGGAAGCAUGAUGGCUCCCGAUGUAUAUUUAUAUAUUACUAAAAUUAUUUUAUUAUGGAUUGUCUUUGAAAUGAUCUGAGCUAAGUCCAGGAGAAAUAUUUAGCACCGAGUGGGAGGUAUAAAGCGACCUUACUUUCCUAGAACUACGUGCCCCCAUAGCAGUGAGCCUGAGGCUGAUUUAUAUAGUGAUCACUAGUUUGUGUAGAUUUGAUAUUGAUAGUCCUACUCCGAUGGCAAGGAUAAGAUGGCUCUCCCCAAAGUGGGUUGUACGUUGUACUCCAUGUAGCUCACAAGGUUUAUGUCGGUUAUAGGAUCUCCAGUGUAUGUGUGUUUCCUUGUGUCUAUGGUGAAUGGUGAAGUGAUUUGAAAGUGGAAUUAUGAAAGUUAUUCUUUUGAAAGAUUUAAAUGAUAUUUACAUUAUGAAAAUUGAUAUUCUUGAUGAACUGAAAGUGAUUGACAGAUUAUAUGAUGACUCACAUGUGUUAUUGUUCUUAUUUCAUCCUUUCAUGAUUAUGAUGAUUUUCUUUGAGCUAUGUGAGUCUUUCAUACAUACUGAAUAUUUCUUAUAAAUAUUUAUGAUGAUGAUGUUUAUACCACUGCAUACACCCUCAUAUACUCAGUUCCUUUCCAGGGUACUGACCCACAUCUUCGGAUGUGGGCUGCAUUUUCUAGGAAUGUAGGUUUAGGUGCUCAGUUUCAGAUUUGACAGUGAUUCUUCGGGCACGCUAUUCUUCAUCCUUUGUUGUGGUGAGUCCUCAUGUUUUGAGGAUGUGAUUUUUGAUGUUGGUUUCACAGACUUAUUUACAUUUGAUAACUGAGUAUGAGUCAGUUGGGGCAUGUCUCAAUGGCUCACUGGUUUUAUUGAUUUUCUUAGAGUCUUGUCAGACUAGUAUAGAUGUUGGGAGUUGACUAAUAAGUCAUAUUUUGUUGUCUUUCUAAAAUUCUUUUAUUCUUUGAUGAUGAUUACUCUAUUGAUAUUUGACGGUUAUUUAUGAAAACCCCAUUGAUUUGUGUUGAACUAAAUGAAAAUGGCUCAAAGGGUUAGCUUGGGGCUACUCGUAGCCUCAAGCACUGUGUGACACUCCGGGACCUAUUUUCUAGGGCGUUACAAACUUGGUAUCAGAGCCUAAGGUUUUAAGGUAUCCUAGGGACUCUAAGAAGCCGCAUUAAGUAGAGUCUUGAUCAUCGGUGUGUAGCGCACCACAUCUAUGAGCAAGAGGCUACAAGUCAUUUUAGGAAAAAGUGUGAUUCUUUCUUUCCCAAGUCUAUUGUUCUUAAAGUGUCUCUCUCUGCUAUUGAUUCAUGCUCUACUCUUUUAUUAAUAUGUCUCUACGUCGAGCGAGAAGAAAUAAUAAUGGUCAUCAACCUCAACCCACUGACCUAUUGAAUUAAAAUGUGUCUGAUGCUAAAUUUUGGGCAACCUUUCAGGCGCUGGCCCAAGCUAUUACUACAAAUAUUUAGACCAACCCGGCCCUGACUCCACAAUAGCAGGGAGGUAAUUCAGCUGCUGCCAGGAUCUGUGACUUCAUGCAGAUGAAUCCGCUAGAAUUCUAUGCAUCCAAGUCUGAAGAGGAUCCACAGUUGUUUUUAGAGGAGGUGCGAAAGAUUACUCAGGUGAUGCAUGUAUCUGAGAAACAUAGUGUGGAGUUGGCUGUGUAUAGGUUGAAAGACCUUGAUUAUGACUAGGUUGUUUCUUGGAGGAAAAGUAGAGGUGAGGGAGCUGUCCCUACAACUUGGCAAGAGUUCCAGGAUGCAUUCCUGGAUAAGUUUUUCCCUUUGGAGAUAAGGGAAGCGAAGGUGGAAGAUUUUAUAAACCUGUGAUAGGGAUCUAUGAUUGUUAGGGAGUAUUGUCUAAAGUUCAACUAUUUGGCCAAGUAUGCUCCUGACUUAAGUGGCUAAUAAUCGGGCUAGUAUGAGUAAGUUUGCGACUAGAGUGUCUAGUUAUGUGGUUAAGAAGUGUAGGUCUGCUAUGUUGAAUAGUGAGAUGAAUCUUUCUAGGCUGAUGACUCAUACCGAAUAGAUUAAGGUAGACAAGAUUAAGGAGAGAGAUAGAAUGAGAGGGAAUAAGAGAGAUAGGUACGAGCAGUACGAACAGGAUCAGACUAGAUCGCAGAGAGGGAGUCACCUUCAGUAUCAGGAUCAUUCGUCUAUGCCAGCACCAUCAUCUACUAGUGCUCUCAUUCCUAGAGGUAGGCAGGAGCAAGGUAGCAGGUCAUAUGCAUCCAUGUCCCAGUACAGUGCUGGCAGUAAGCCAAAUCAUCCCCUGUGUCCCAAGUGUGGUAGGGCUCAUUUGGGUGAGUGUUGGGGUGAGAAGAGGGGUUGUUUCCAGUGUGGUGACAUGGGUCACAGAGUUAGAGAUUGUCCACAAGAUAGAUAAGGGCAUCGUGACUAUCGCCCUCAGACCCAGACUCAGACUGUUAGUGCUCCAGUUCUAGUGAAUCGCCCAGCCCCAGCUCAGGGUGCCUCUUCUAGCAAUGCUGGCGGGCAGCGCUAGAAUAGAUUCUAUGCUUUACUAUCCCACCAGGAAUAGGAGAAAUAUCUCAAUGUUGUGACUGGUAUGUUUCGUAUAUUUCAGUUUGAUGUGUAUGCUUUGUUGGAUCCUGGAUCUAGUUUCUUAUAUGUUACACCUUUGAUUUCUUUGAAUUUUGAAAUGAGUCCUGAGAUUAUUCCUGAGCCUAUCCUAGUUUCUACCCCAGUGGGUGAUUCGAUUAUUGCCCAGAAAGUGUAUAAAAAGUAUCCUAUUACAGUUCUUCAUAGAGUCUUGUUGGCUGAUCUAAUUGAGUUAGACAUGUUAGAUUUUGAUGUAAUUCUGGGUAUGGACUGACUGUAUUCUUCUUAUGCCUAUAUUGAUUGUCGGACCCGAGUGGUCAAGUUUUAGUUUUCGGGUGCAUCCGUGUUUGAGUGGUCUGGGAAUUUUGUGUCACCCAAGAGUUAUUUUAUUUCUUACCUCAAAGCUAGAAAGCUUAUUUCCAAGGGGUGUAUUUACCAUUUGGUUAGCGUCAAAGACACUAAGUCUGAGACUCCAACUCUCCAGUCUAUUAGCGUCAUGAAUAAGUUUUCUGAUAUCUUUCUUGAUAAUCUCCAAGGGAUACCUCCUGAUAGAGAGAUAGAGUUCGGGAUUUAUCUUCUUCCCAAUACUCAGCCUAUUUCUAUUCCUUCUUAUCAUAUGGCCCCUACAAAACUUAAGGAUUUGAAAGAGCAACUCAAAGAUAUACUAGAUAAGGGUUUCAUAAGUCCCAGUGUUUCUCCUUGGGGUGCUCCUGUGUUGUUUGUGAGAAAGAAAGAUGGCUCUUUGCGUAUGUGAAUUGAUUACUGCUAACUAAAUAAAGUUACCAUAAAAAAUAAGUACCCUCUUCCGAGAAUAGAUGAUUUGUUUGACCAAUUGCAAGGUGUAAGUUAUUUCUCAAAGAUAGACCUUCAUUUCGGCUAUUAUCAACUCAAAGUUAGGGAGUGUGACAUCCCGAAAACCGCUUUCCAAACUCGUUAUGGACAUUUUGAGUUUCUUGUUAUGUCUUUUGGGUUAACUAAUGCCCUAGCAGCUUUCAUGGACCUCAUGAAUCGAGUGUUCAGACCAUAUUUGGAUAUGUUUGUCAUAGUNNNNNNNNNNNNNNNNNNNNNNNNNNNNNNNNNNNNNNNNNNNNNNNNNNNNNNNNNNNNNNNNNNNNNNNNNNNNNNNNNNNGAGGGUAUUAGAGUUGAUCCCUAAAAGAGCGAAGCUGUUAGAAAUUGGCCUAGACCUAUUUCUUCGACUGAUAUCCAAAUUUUCUUAGGUUUAGAUAGCUAUUACCUCCAUUUUGUUAAGGGUUUCUCCUUUAUAGCAUCUCCUAUAACUCGGUUGACCCAAAAGAAAGUGAAGUUCUUGUGGUCUGAAUCUUGUGAGAAGAGUUUUCAAGAGUUGAAGACUCGACUCACUUCAGCCCCUGUUUCGACUUUUCCUGAUGGUGUUGCUGGUUUUGUGGUGUAUUAUGAUGCUUUGAGAGUUAGGUUCAGUUGCGUAUUGAUGCAGAAGGGUAAGGUGAUAGCUUAUGCUUCUAGACAGUUGAAACCCCAUGAGAAAAAUUACCCCACCCAUGACCUUGAGUUGGCUGUUGUUGUGUUUGCUUUGGAAAUAUGGAGACACUAUUUGUAUGGUGUCCAUGUUGAUGUUUUCACUGAUCACAAGAGUCUGCAGUAUGUGUUUACCUAGAGAGAAUUGAAUCUUAGGCAGAGAUGAUGGUUAGAAUUCUUAAAGGACUAUGAUAUGAGUGUGCUGUACCAUCUGGGGAAGGCCAAUGUUGUGGUGGAUGCCCUAAGUAGAGUGUCUAUGGGUAGUGUUUCGCAUGUGGUAGAAGGUAAGAAAGAGUUGGCUCGUGAUGUACAUCGUUUGGAUAUAUUGGGGGUUAGGUUGUUUGACUCUGCUGGAGGUCGUAUAGGGGUUCAGAGUAGUUCUAAAUUCUCCUUGGUUUCAGAAGUAAAAGAAAAGCAAUACUUAGAUGCUAGUUUGGUUAGACUGAAAGAGUCAGUCAAGGACCAAAAAUAAGAGGUUUUCUCCUAAGGGGGAGAUGGUGUGUUGAGAUUAUAGGGUAGAUUGUGUGUCUUGAAUGUUAAUGAUCUGAGACAGAGGAAUAUGGCUGAAGCGCACGAGGCGUGAUAUUCUAUUCAUCCUGGUGCCACCAAGAUGUACCGAGACUUGUGGGAAAUCUAUUGGUGGAGUGGCAUGAAGAAAUAUAUAGCAGUGUUUGUAGCUACUUUUGCAACAUGCCAACAGGUUAAGGUUGAACACCAAAGACCUGGUGGUAUGAUGCAAGAGUUUAGUAUUCCCACCUGGAAGUGGAAAGAGAUAAAUAUGGACUUCAUGAUUGGUUUACCUCCUUUCCGAUGCCAUCAUGAUUCCAUUUGGGUUGUGGUUGAUAGGUUGACUAAGUCUGCUCAUUUCUUGCCUGUUCAUACUUCAUAUACUGCUGAGAUUACGCUAGAUUGUAUAUCCGAGAGCUAGUUAGACUUGAUGGAGUUCCCUUGUCUAUCAUUUCGGAUAGGGGUACUCAGUUCACUUCGCAAUUUUGGAAAGCUUUUCAGAAUGGUCUUGGUACCCAAGUGCUUUUGAGUUCUACUUUUCAUCCGUAGACCGAUGGUCAGGCUGACCGGACCAUCUAGACCUUAGAGGAUAUAUUGAGAGCUUGUUCACUUGACUUUAAGAAAAAUUGGAAUAAUCACUUACCGUUGAUAGAGUUUGCUUACAAUAACAGUUUCCACUCUAGUAUUGGCAUGGCUUCGUUUGAAGCCUUAUAUGAGAGGAAGUGUAGAUCACCCAUAGGUUGGUUCGAGGUGGGUGAAGCGGCUAUGAGUGGUCCUGAUUCGGUAUUUGAGGCUAUGGAAAAAGUUAAGUUGAUUAGGGAAAUUUUGAAAACUGCGCAGUCGUCAGAAGUCAUAUGCGGAUGUUAGAAGGAGAGACCUUAAGUUUGAAGUUGGUAACCUAGUGUAUAUGAAAAUUUCACCCAUGAGGGGGUUGAAGAGAUUCAGAAAGAAUGGGAAGCUUAGUCCCAGUUAUAUUGGUCCUUACAAAAUUCUUAGCCGUGUUGGUAAGGUAGCUUAUGAGGUCGAGUUGCCUUCCGAGUUGUCCUCUGUUCAUCCAAUAUUCCAUGUCUCCAUGCUUAGAAAGCAUAUUAGCGAUGUUAUGGUAGUGGAUUCCUCUGUGAGUGCUGACAUUCAAGAAAAUCUUUCUUUUGAUGAGAUUCUUGGGAAGCUGUGGUGAAACCAAUCUGUUGAGGGUGCAACUUGGGAAGUUGAAGCGGAUAUGCGAUCCAAGUACCCGCACCUAUUUUUUGCAAACUCCGAUCAAGCCAAAGGUACCGUUCUUUCCUAAAUCAUGCCUUUUGAUAAAAGAUGCAGCAGUUCAGCUAUCAUUUAUUAGGUGUUCAGCUGUAGUUUCUUGAAUUUAUGCAUUCUAUGUUGCAUUCGGAGUGAGAAACGAUGUGGUGAUGAGUCUAACAAAUGGUUUCAGCUGUAUGCUCUAUUCCCUAUCUAAUCUUUGCAUGUCUAGCGUCAUUCGAGGAUGAAUGUUUCCAAGGUAGGGAUGAUGUAAUACCCCGGGAAAUUUUUCAUUGAAAUUUUGUACGUAAACGUGUUGGGUUCUAUCUUCUAGAAUAAAUUAUAAAUUUUUUGUAUGGAAUGUCUUAUAUUAUGACCCACCAUUGCGUAGAGUAUCGAAAACAAUUUCCAAUGAUAUGUGGAUCAUCCAAAACAAACACCCGAGCGACAAGUUAUGAACAUUCCGAUGGAACCGUGAAUAGUAGUGAACAGUAAAACGUGCAGGAAAAAGUACUAAGGCCUGACGUAUUUUUCUCCAACUUUAAAUGAUCAUAACUCCUUGUACAUANNNNNNNNNNNNNNNNNNNNNNNNNNNNNNNNNNNNNNNNNNNNNNNNNNNNNNNNNNNNNNNNNNNNNNNNNNNNNNNNNNNNNNNNNNNNNNNNNNNNNNNNNNNNNNNNNNNNNNNNNNNNNNNNNNNNNNNNNNNNNNNNNNNNNNNNNNNNNNNNNNNNNNNNNNUGGGUGAUAUACUAUAUAUCAACGGAAAGAUAUGAGAGUCCUCUUUCUAAUGAAAUUAGUUUUAUCUAAUUUGGAUAUCGGAGUAAAAUGUUAUGGUUGAUCUACUUCAGACUAUCAAAACAGUCCACCAAGGGACAGAUUUGAGAAUUAUUUAAUUUUUAGGGGAGUUUUGGUCGCUUCCCCUCACUCAAAAUCCGUCCAAACUCUAUAUUAAAUCCUAUUAGAAGUAUUAUAUGUUAUAUUUCAUCAAAUUCCCUCAAAAAGAAAACCCUAAGCUCCUACAUCCAACUUCAAGAACCUCCAAAGUUCACCAUUAAUUCUACAAAUUUAUUUAAGAUUCUAAGUUCCUAGUUCAAGAACUCCAAGAACCAUCAUUCAAAGGCACGAUUAACAUCUCAAAAAUGAGUAUCGAUCUAAAGUUCAUCAUUCAAGGUAUGUGGGGUUUUUCAACAAGAACUCUCUUUCAUUCUUGUGCCCAAAAGUAAUUUUCUUUACAAAGGCAUGAUUUUUAUUUGAUUUUUACAAAUUUAAAGCAUGAACCAAUAUCUUAUGAUGAUUAUUAUGAAAUCUUGAUGUUUAUGAUUUUGAAAAAUGAAUUUACAUGUGUGAUGAUAUAAAGCAUAAAUCUUGAAUGAUAUUUAUCAUGAUUUUGAUAUUUGGGUCAUGAAUUCCCAUUGGAAAUUGUGUUUUUUUUAAGAAAGUGUGUGUAUAAGUAUAUUGAUAUUGAAUAUUUGAGAUAUUUUGAAUGAUUUGACCUUUUGAUCUUAAUGAAGUUGUUUUGAACUCGAGUGUGAAAGAAAUCCACAACGUGGGUGAUUUUGAUAGACGGGAAGCAUGAUGGCUCCCGAUGUAUACUUAUAUAUUACUGAAAUUGUUUUGGGAAGCAUGAUGGAUCCCGAUGUAUAUUUAUAUAUUACUAAAAUUAUUUUGUUGUGGAUUGUCUUUGAAAUGAUCUAAGCUAAGUCUGAGAGAAAUCUUUAGCACCGAGUGGGAGAUAUAAAGCGACCUUGCUUCCCUAGAACUACGUGCCCCUGUAGGAGUGAGCCUGAGGCUGAUUUAUAUAGUGAUCACUAGUUUGUGUAGAUUUGAUAUCGAUAGUCCUACUCCGAUGGCAAGGAUAGGACGGAUCUCCCCAACGUGGGUUGUACGUUGGACUCCAUGUAGCUCACAUGGUUUAUGUCAGUUAUAGGAUCUCCCAGUGUGUGUGUGUGUUUCCUUGUGUCUAUGGUGAAUGGUGAAGUGAUUUGAAAGUGGAAUUGUGAAAGUUAUUCUUUUGAAAGAUUUAAAUGAUAUUUACAUUAUAAGAAUUAAUAUUCCUGAUGAGCUGAAAGUGAUUGACAAAUUAUAUGAUGACUCACAUGUGUUAUUGUACUUAUUUCAUCCUCUUAUGAUUAUGAUGAUUUUCUUCGGGCUAUGUGAGUCUUUCAUACAUCCUGCAUAUUUUUUAUAAAUAUUUAUGAUAAUGAUGUUUAUACAACUGCACCCCAUAUACUCGAUUCCUUUCCAUGGUACUAACCCACAUCUUCGGAUGUGGGCUACAUUUUCUCGGAAUGUAGGUUCAGCUUCGAUAGUGAUUCUUCGGAAACGCUGUUCUACAUCCUCUAUUAUGGUGAGUCAUCAUGUUUCGAGGACGUGAUAUCUGAUGUUGGUUUCACAGAAUUGUUUACAUUUGAUAACUGAGUAUGAGUCAGUUGGGGCAUGUCUCAAUGGCUCGCUAGUUUUAUUGAUUUUCUUAGAGGCUUGUCAGACUAGUAUAGAUGUUGGGAGUUGACUAAUAAGUUGUAUUUUGUUAUCUUUCUGAAAUUCUUUUAUUCUUAGAUGAUGAUUACUCUGUUGAUAUUUGAGGGUUAUUUAUGUAAACACCAUUGAUUUGUGUUGAAUUGAAUGAAAAUGGCUCAAAGGAUUAGCUUGGGGCUACUCAUAGCCUUAAGCACUGUGUGACGCUCCAGGACCCGUUUUUCGGGGCGUUACAAUCGACCUAAGAAACAACCAAAAAUUCAUAAUGACUAUAUCGGGCUUGGAAAGCAAUUUUGGGAACGUUAUCCUCCCUAACCUUACGCUAAUAAUUACUCAAAUGGAGGUCUAUCUUAGAUAAAUAUCUAGCACUCUAAAGCUGCUCAAAGAUAUCAUCAAUUCUUGGGAAAGGGUACUUAUUUUUACUAGUGACCUUGGUCAGAUGUCGGUAAUGUCAAGACCCAAAAAUCAAGGGUCAUGAUGGCACUUGUCCCAGCAAGACAGACAAGCUUAUCACCCAAACUAAUAUAACAAGGGAAAUCAAUAACAAAAUCCAAGAAAAGGCUUUUAGAGCGAAGCUAAGCCUUACAAAAAGGAUAAUAGCAGAAGUAUAAUCAAUAAUACCAAACCAAAACCCAAAACCUGGUGUCACUAUAUAAGAACUGCUAAAUAUAUCUCAAAUUUUAAAAGAUAUAAUAAUAAUCCAAGAAGGAUCAAUAUACUAGCUUUGAAUAAAAAAUAAGACAUGUAAUAGAUAGGAAGAGGUAGUAGGCCAACUUUUGAAGCAUAGCAUGUCCGCUACCUCAAAUACUCCAAAAGUCACCCAAAUCAGCUACUCGUGUGGCGCACUCAUACCUGGAUCUGCACUAAAAAGCUGCAGUAGGGAUGAUUACGGUACACUUGUACUUAGUAGGUAUUAUUUGUCGAUUGGGUAAAGUAGAAAAUAAAGCAUAUAAACACAAACUAUAGGUACGUUACCUGCAAUAAGAAAAUAUCCCAAACAGUAGCCUACGUUAUCUCCACUAAUAGUUCUAAUAAUACACACAUAUAAUAAAUACAUGUACAGAAAAGAAGAACAAAUAUACACAUACAUCAAAUACAAGUAUAGUAAGAUAGAACAAAUGGAUAGAUAUCAAGUCAAAGACAGAAAUACAAUCACAACAAAAGCACAAUAGAUGAAGUCCAAUGAAGAUGAUGAUGUGAUGCACGAGGUUUCUGCACAACCUCCGUAUACACCUACAAAGAUAAAUCUUCUCAAUAUAGGACCCAUGGGGGGUUCGUUAACCCAUGUACAAUCAAUAUUGAAUACCAAUAUCCAUAUCUCUUCUUUGACAUAUACAUUAGUAAAGGGUUUUUAAGAUGUCAUCUUUUCUAUUAGAAAAAAGCAGUGUUUCUAGUAUUUUCAGUAUUUUCACGGUGGUACCAGUGUUUCAUGAAUAAAUAUGAUAUGAGGAUGUAAUUUUAAAAACCAAGCAAGGUGAGAAUAUCCAAUAUCCCACCAAUAUACCAACUAUGUGAGCCAAAAUUCUACUCAAAUCAACCAAUCAUCCAUGAUCCAAAAUAAUCCAGAAAAUGAUUAAGUAAAACAUGCAAGAAAGUUUUGUCGAUACCACAUAAAUCUUAAAAUAUAGUUUUUUCCAUUGAAAGAGUGCAACCAAACAUACAUAUAUCAAUACGAGGCCAGCAACAUCAUAUAAGACCCCACAUGAUCACACAUAAUAAAUAGUAUCUUAAAAUUAUCAAAUAUUAUCCUCAUAUGCCCCCACACGGGCACUCAAAUCACCUAAACAUAUUUUGCAUGGUAUAACCCCAUACCCAUAACAUGAUUUUACAUUAUUAUUAACUACCCAAUACAGUCUAAAGAAAGUUAAUCCAUAACCUACAUCAAAUGACAAAAAAUGAUCCAAAAAGCCUUCAAUCCAGAUAUUUUUCCUUACAAGUGGAUCCAGAAUCAACAAAGACAUACAAAUACAUAAUCUACACAUCAAAACAAAGUCAACGAUACCCAUAUGGCCUAUUUUUGAGUCGGAUUCAAAAUAGACUACCAAAAUAUAUUUUCAAAAAAAAAAAGAGUAGUUUUAUUAAAAAAAACAUGUUCCUCAUACUCAUAGGAGUCUACAACUAAAAACCCAUGCAAAAAUGAGGUUCAGAUCCAAGAAAAACUAUUUUCAAGCUUUAUGAUAAAAACCUCCAAAAUCCAUUUUGAAAUCAAGAAUUUAAAGUUGUUUUAAAGAUCAAAUAAGAGAAAAAUGAUAAUUAUAAGAUUGAAAACGUAAUUAUGAAAGAAAUCUGUAACACCCCACAUUUUUGGGCAAGACUUUGAACCGUCGUUCCGACGUGUGAAAACUCUCAUCAAAAUAUUUGGAUACAAAUAAAUGUGUCAUAAUCAUUUACCUAGUGUUUUAAGUUCUAUUGAAGUGAAAAAUGUUCAUAGAAAGAAUUUAGAACAAAGUUGAGUUGUGAACACUUUCAUCGAUUGAGUUUUUGUAUUUGAUCCUACUAGGGUCAACUUUAAAUGAGUGUAAUUACUAGAAUAUAACUAUUAAGGUGUCCUACUAUAUAUCAAAUGAAAAAUCUUUGAGUCUUAUUUCCAUCUCAACUAGUUUCACCUUAAUCUAAUAUCGAGUAGAAAGUGAUGCUCAUUUUACUCUAGAGUGUCUGACUGUCAGAAAGUGAUGACUAAGUUGACGAGCCAUCAACCAUAGUCAUCAACCUUAACUAGAAAAGAGUAAAAUCCAUCUAGAAUUAGUGACUAGGGUGAUAGGACGUCACAGAGUUGACAGAUUGUAAACCUAGUUGUCAGUUGAGGAAAUUCCUGCAUUUUUCUUGGUUUCUUUAGGGGUAUUUUGGUCUUUUCCUCACCCAAACCCUACUCCCCAUGACUUAAAUCACCCUAUGCAUGAUAGUUUCACAUCAUUAGUUAGUUUUCAAUGUUUACUUCACAUCAUUAGUUAGUUUUCAAUGUUUAAAUCACCCUAUGCAUGAUAGUUCCAUUGAUUUCAUGUUAAACCAUCAGAUUAUGAACUAAACCAUGAGAAGUUGUUAUCCUCCCAAGUUUACCUUAUCCCCAUGUUCAAAUUUAUGUAUUUUAUCAGUCAAUCAAAAUGUCUUAUGUUUUGGGCCUCUGAACUAUGACUUUAUUCCACUAUUUUAAGUGUUGUUAUCUUAUUUAAGUUUCAUUCAGUGCUAGAGGGUUAUGAACACCGAAUACCUAUAUGUUUUUAUAAGUUUUUGUUUUCAAGUAAUAAGACAGUCAUACCAUGAUUUUAUUAUCAGAUUCAGAUUAUCAUGUUCAUGCUAUGCGCUUAUCAGUACAAUACCAUGUCAUGUUAAAAAAAUAAUAAUACCAGUGUCAUUCAGUUGGGAGUAAUACUUAGCACUAAGUGAACGCAGAGAUGAUGGCUCCCCCGUCAGUUAGGCAUGAGUCAAUAGUAGCAGCCCCUAAGUUCCAGACCUGCAGUGCCACUAUAUAUUAUGAGUGGUCCCCCGUCAGUUAGAUGUGACACCCUCGUCCUUCGAGACAUCAGCCUUGUGGAUCCACAUUGUCAGUUAUGUGUCGGUACCCCUGGCAAGGUAUUGACAACCUUUCAACUGGGGUUACAGGUUGGACCUCGAUAGCUUAGAUUGAGAUAUGUCUGUUGCAGUUAACUCCCACAGUCUCAAUGUAGUAUUCAGAGUAGGCCAGUUCUGGUUUUCAUGACCAAGUUUACAGAUAUCAGUUAUUUAGUUAUACAGAUUUCAGAUUUUAGUUAUUCAGUUUAAAGAUUAUUUCAGUACAAAUUUAUUGUUGGUCAUGCAUUUUCAGUUUUACAUGUUCAUGUUUUCAUGCUCAGUAUCCAUACAUGACCCUCAAUUCAGUUUUACAGCAGGUUCAAUUUUACAUGAGAUUUACAUACAGUAUUCAUAUUUUAUCGCUUCCCAAGUUCAGUUUUUCUUAUUCUACAAAAGUAAAGAUUUAAGAAAACUAAGUGUACUGAUUCACCAUCUUAUCAAAUUAUGUUUGUUACUCAUAUUUUAAGAUACUUCAGCUUUCAAUUAAUUUCAAUCUCUUGGUGAGUCUACUUAGACUUAGCAUGCAUGUUUUAAAAUUAUCUAUCUAUUCAGUUUUACUUAUUGCAUUCACCCCUACUUACUCAGUACAUUCCAUAAGUACUAACUGCAUAUACGUCUGUGUGGAUACAUUAUUUUAAAAUGUAGGUAACAGAAGUAUUCCACACACUAGGGUUGCACAGUUUUAGCUUUCAGCCAGCGGGUGAUAAGUUCUCCUAUUUCAGGAACUCCAGUCCAUUGCAGUACAUGUGUUGUAUUUUGAUUAACCAUAUCUACUGAUUAGUGGUAGUUGGAGGCAUGUACGAACUAUCUAUAGUCAGUAUAGUAGAGGAUUCGCAGAUGGUCAGUCAAAGUCAUUCAUGAAACUCAAGUUCUUUCUUCAAUUUCAUCAUAUUGUAAACUUUAUCAGUAUUACAUUAAUUUUGAUUUUCUUAUGAUUAUGUUUCCACUCAGUAAAUUUAGUUUUUAUACAAUUUAAAUCAGUUGCUCAAGUAUCAUUCCAGUACAUGGGUUAGCUUAGUAUCACUUGUGGUUCUAAGCACUGUGUUACGACUAGGGGGUAGCCUCAAGUCGUGACAAAAUCUUUAAAAAAACUUUGGAAUUGCAAUUAGAGCUUUCAAGGCCCAAAAAUGAUGGAAAUGGGGUUUUGAUUCUCUACUUGGGAGGAAAUAACGAAAAGUAAAAUAGAAGUUCUUAGAAAAUGGGGAAAUAAUGUUCUACAGUGAUAGACAAUGAUUCUAUGAGAAAAUGCAUUAAAAAUCAUCAGAAUUAAAGCUUCCUAGCUCUAAAAAUGUCAAAAAUACUAAAUGGAUUUGAUUUGGGUCUUAACCAACAAUGAUGGCUACAAAAGUGGCACUUUGGCUGCUAAAGCGUCCUAUUCAAAUGGUCAAAAGCUGCUAAAGCGGUCAACCAGCCACUUUAGCGCCUACACCAGUACCAUCAAUUCUCGAAACUUGUUUUUGACCCCAAAACUCAUUUAGAAUCCUAUGAAUAGGGUCAAUAGUGAAAUUUGAUUAUAAAACAUGUUACGGAUCCAAUGGAUUUAUUAAAGUAACAAAAAAAGGGUCAUUAUAGCAAAAUUGACCCUCGAGAUCCUAUUUUACACUAUUUCUGAACCAAGGAUCAAAAUAGGAUCUAUAGGCCACAAAAUCUAACCAACCCUAAUACUAAUCCAAAUUUGGCAUUCUAGAUCCAAUGGCGAUAUCAAAUUUGUUAAAAAUAUCAUUUUCAUAAAACAAACCCUCGAGACCCAAUUUUACAACUUUUUGAACCAAGGAUCAAAAUGAGAUAUAAAAGCCAUAAAACCACACAAUCAUGUUACCAAUCUAAAAUCGACAUUUCGAAUCUGCUGGUGCAGUCCAUUUUGCCCUCCAAUGCACAAAUCAAUAAAUGUUGACCACAGUCAACUAUAGAGCCUUUAUAACUAUCAAAAACCAUAAUUUCACAUAAAUCAUACCGAAAUACACUAGAAACUAUGCAAAUCAUCCCCACACUCUAGAAAUACCAAAUAGUCAAAUCAUACAAAAAUAAUUAUUUCACAUAAAUCAUAAAAAAAUUGAGUCGUUACAUCAUCCACCACUAAAAAUCUAGUUUAUCCUGGAACUAAAAGCAAAGAAAAUACCUGAGACUGCAAAAAGCUAGGGCUAACUACUACCCAUAUUAAACUCGACCUCCUAAGUAGCCUCCUCUACAGGUAUAUGUCUCCACUGAAUCUUAACCACCGGAAUAUCUCUAGAACACAACCAUCUAACAUUCCUAGCCAAGAUGGAGACAAUCUUCUCAUUAAAAGACAAUCUCUCAUCUAACUUAAUCGAAUCCCAACGAAUGACAUGAGACUCACUCAAAAUGUAACCAGAAGUAUUAAACAUGAAAGACUGGAUGAACAAUUGACAAAUCUGGGAGCAAAGCUAACUAAUAAGCCACAUCACCAAUAGCCCUAAGAAUCUUAAUGACCUAGUAUACCUGGAGCUAAUCUUUCCCCUCUUCCUAAAUCUCAUCAUGCCCUUCAUGGGCGACACACAAAGUAAAACUUGAUCACUAAUACUAAAUUUCAAGGAAUAAAGUUUACAAUCUGCAUAGCACUUUUGUCUACUCUGAGUCACUCUAAGUCUAUCAUGGAUGAUCCGAACUCUAUCCAAUGACUCAUGAAGCAAUUCUGGACCUCGAUGUCUAAUAUCUGAAACAUCAAACCAACCAACUAGAGAGCAAGAAUACCUACCAUACAAAGCCUCAAAAGGAGACAACUCAAUACUGGAAUGGUAGAUAUUAUUAUAUGCAAACUUUUCCAAAGCUAGAUAUUUCUCCCACUGACCACCAAAGUAUAUCACACAUGCAUGGAGCAUAUUCUCCAAAACUUGAAUAGUCCGCUCCAACUGACUAUCAGUUUAGGAGUGAAAAGUUUUACUAAGAUCAACCUGGGUACCUAACUCCUUCUAAAAUGUCAUCCAAAAGUGAGAUGUGAACACUGAACCUCGAUCUGAGAUGAUAGAAACUGACACACUAUGAAGACACAUGAUCUCAUAAAUGUAGAUAUGGGCCAACCUCUCGAUACCAAAGAAAACCUGAACCAAAAUAAAAUAAGCAAAUUUGGUCAACUGAUCCACAAUGACCCAAACACUUUUAGAACUACAAAAAGUAUGAGGCAACCUAGACAUAAAUCCAUAUUGAUCUAUUCCUAUUUCCACUCGAGAAUGGGUAACCUCUAAAGCAAACCACUAGGCCUCAAGUACUCAACUUUCACCUGCUGGUAACAUAGGCAACAAACUACAAAAUCAUCUAUAUCCUUCCUUAUACACCCUACCAGUAAUGGUAUCUCAAAUCAAGUUACAUCUUAGUCACUCCUGGAUGAAUAGAAUACCUAGAACAAUGUGCCUCCUAUAAAAUCAAUCUAAUCCAAUCUCCCACUGUUGGCACACAAACUCGACCUCCAAUCCUCAAAAUACUAUCUAAAUUAAGUGUAUAUUUCUUAGCCUCACCACUCUACAUCGUAUCUUGAAUUACUCCUAACCUGACAUCAUCCAACUGAUGAGCUCGAAUCUUCUCCAUCAGGGAAGAUUUAACCUUCACAAAUGCCAAAAUACAUCCAGCUAUUGAAAUAUCAGGACUAACCAUCUAGUUAUCUAAAAAUUCUACCUCUAAGGCCAAAAGCUUCUUUUGGGUCAAAAGAUGGGCCAAUAUACCCAUGAUUGUCGACUUUCAACUCAAGGCAUUUGCAACUAUGCCUUACCCAAAUGAUAGAGAAUAUUCAGGUAAUAAUCCUUAAGCAACUCAAGCUAACAGCACAACCUCAUAUUAACAUCUCACUGGAUGAAGAAGUACUAAAGACUAGAAUGAUCCAAAAAAAUAUCACAAUGAAUCCCAUAUAUUAUAUAAUCCAAAUGGCCUCCAAAUUAUUAUAAAGGAUUUUUAUGGCUCAAGAGGCACUUGAAUACUCCUUGGUGAUAUCCAAAAUGUACCAAUUUUAUGAUUAUAAUGAUUGAGGAUGUUCGAGGGAUGUUAAAGAGGCCAAGGGAAGGUAAAAUGGGGCUAAAAAGCCCCCGAAAGAGGACAUGCACCCCAUCCGCUUUGGAGGUGCAUGCCCAAACCACUCUAGACCUAUUGGAGCGGGUUAAAAUAGACCAUAUGCCUUGAAUAUAUGCCUUUUGUGUGCCCCAAAUGCUUAUGUGGAUUCUUAGUGAACUUCUAUGCUUUGUAUUUCGUAAAUGGGUCACUUUUGGGCCCAUACAAUGUAAUAGUUAACUCUAGACUAUAAAUAGGGCCUUAGACAUUUCAUUUCCUUAGUUAUUGAUGAAUUAUAAAUGUACACUCUUAUGAGAGUGAGAGAGAAAUAUGGAAUCGCUUGUGUUGAUCUUUCGUUUAGAAACGAGUGUUGCUUGGGAAUCUGAUUUCUUUGUUGUCUACGUAGGAGUUAGGUGCUUUGUUUGACAUUGAAUAGAGGUUUAGAUUUUGUUUUCUAUUCAUUCGUCCAUUGUGUCUAUCUAUUACUUGUUCUCUAUCUAUCUUUAUCUUUCAUAUUCGUAUCUUUGCUUAGUUUUUAAUUUCGAAGUUUGUUUUCAUAUCAUUUGGUAUAAGAGAAUCUUGGGUUUGUUAUGUAAAAAAUUUUUAAAAAUGUUUAAAAUAAAAAUCCCUAAACUUUUUUUGUAUUUUUGAGUCCUUUUUGUUGUUUGUAUGCUAGAUUUAUUCCCUCUAGUGUUGGGUUAGAACCUUGAGAUUUGUGACUUGAUUGUGUCAUGUGAGAAAAUCCCACCAUUGUUAACUUAAAAUUGAGGUUGAAGAAGUUGAAAAAGUGUUCUCAACAUUGAAAGAAGCUUAGGGUUAAGAGAUUGUGUCAUUUGGAGAGGUUUGAAAAAUUCACCAUUUCUACAAUUUUGAAUGUUGAAGAAAAUACAAGUGAGUUUGAAAAUCUGAAAAAUUUAGGUGUUUUUUAGUGCUAAAGUUUGUUGAAAUGUUUUCCUUAUGUUUACGAGAGCCUACGCUUAAAAUUUAGUGAAAUUUCAAGCCAAAAUGAAGAAGUGCAUUUUGGAUUUUCAAAAUUGUUCUUGGUGUUCUUGAGAAGCUUCAUAUCUUCAUUUUGAAUCUUCAUAAAAAAUUUAUUGUUUAAUCCAAGAAAGAGAAGGAAAGGGAGUGAAAAAGUAUUGGUACGAAGACUAUCCAAAGUACCAAGAAAUAUUCCAAGAGAAGAGGACAAAAGAGGGACCAUAAAGGGGCAUUAUCGCCUAUUCAAGAGGAUGGUUCGGUUGACCUACGCUUGAGGUGCCUUUGAUCUGUACCUAACUUGCUAAAGAAGGUCAGAGGCAGACCAAAACAAUAACUCUUGUGCCCCACCUACUCUAGAGGUUUGCUAGGUCUACUCCUGAUCCGCUAUAGCUUGCUCUAAGUGCAUGUAAAGCCUUCCAGUUCACUUUUUGCAAGGUUCCAUCAAUCUAACUUUAUUUUUUGAUUCUUAACUUCAUAUUUUGAUUCUUAAAAACUAGAUAACACUAAUAAUUUAUAUAUUAGCUGAUUAAUUAGUUCUUGAGUCCAAUUUCUUUCUUGUCCGUUCUUUUGUGCUUCUCUCUAUUGUUUUCAUUGAACCUUCUUGAUUUAACUAUGAUAGUUUGUGUUUGAGUUUUAUUUUAAAUUUUAAACAAGAAUUCAUUCCGAUCACAAGACAAAAUUGGUACCAAGAAAUCUCAUUGGAGUAUAAAUGAUCUAUCAACACUUGCAACGGCAAUUGAGAGAUGAAAUAAGGUGAGAACUUCAAGAGCUUGUGAGGUUAAUUUCUCUAACACUAACGUGUUUGUUGUCUUUAUCACUGUAUUUAUUCAUAGGUACAAUGGCUACAUAAGGAUAAACAUCACAAACCAUGGAUAACAAUACCUCGAAUGCUAUAUUAGUGGUCCUUGAAGCUCUCAACCAUAAAUUUGAAUCCUUUGAAUCUAAGAUAGAUAACAUGUAUGGGUGGAUAGAUAACAUGAUAGAUCAUCUAAACUUCCCUAAGUCCACCCUUUCUAAUCCACUAAACUUUCAAGCUUCCUUGAGUUUCCAUGCUCAAAAUACCUUCCUUAAACUACCCCAAAUUCCAUAAAGCCAAAUUUAACCCAAUUAAGUUGAGGAUGAAGGGAAAGGGAAAGCUAAGAAUGGGAAUAAGAAUUGGCUUAAGAAGGAGAGUCAUGUAAGAAUGUUGAUCCAAUAAUUAAAUUGAAUGAGGUCCAUAAGCCAACGCUUCCAAAGGAUGAUUCAAAAAAGACCUCUCAUGAGCAUAAGUUCAAGGACUCCAAGGUUGAUGAAGACUUGAUAGAAAGUAGGAACCUAAUCAAACUCUUAUGGGUCGAUGGUAUAUUAUUAUAAGAAGUGAAUCAUCUAACCCCAUGGAUCGAAAGAAGGAGUUAUCUCCAAAGGAACAAAUAGGCAAAAGAAUCAAGCAUAUUGGUCCAAGUUGAUGCAUGGAAAGAAAGAUCCUUAUAAAGCACCUAUGGAGGACAAGAGAAUAACUUCAAGGUAUUUCUUCCAAGGUAUAUACCUACUCUUUUCUAGUCCUAGUAAUCCUUGGAUACAUGAUGAUAUUUUCCUCAUAUUGAAUAAAACCGUAAAAUUGAUAGAUAUCAUGACACACCAUGAGAGUAUUAUUGUCUUUAUGAUUCCUUUAUAGUGUUUGCCUUUGGUGCUUGUAUUGUAUGGGCCUUGCAUUCUCGAUGCCCAAUCUAUUUGUUUCUUAGGAAAGGGUCCUUGGUAUGUACUUGAUGUACAACUUUGGUUUCCUAAUCCUUGUCACACUUGUGUGGUUGGACAAGUUUAGGUAAUAGGAAGGACUCUUAGGAACAUUAUAAGUACCAUGAAAAGAAGUCACCUAACUUCUUGGGUAUGCCCUGGUUUGGAGUGAAUUAGUUUCUCACGAAUUCCCUAAUUUCUCUAAUAGAAUAAUUCUCUUGGUGAUGCACUCUUGUCGGAAGUUGCUUGAAGAUAAAAGAUGUAAUGUGUUUUAAUUACCUUGUCUCACCUUAUUAUAUACUCAUGUUUGAGGGUAAUUUAGAUGAGAAUGGUGUCCUUAACUCUAUUCUUUUCUAUCUUUUUGCUUAUAAUGAUGACUAUGUUUGUGUUGAAAAUGCAUUUUUUGUGAACAUAGAUUGUUUUGAAAGGAAGGAUGAUGUGCAUCCUAAUGACUUGACUCCAUCCUUGGUUGUUCCAACUUCUAGUUAUUUGAUUACUAUCUUUCUGGAGUACCUUGCUAUUAUUAAGUAUGGAAACACCUUGUAUGGGAAUCAUCGUCUUUAUAUCAUUCUUUACUACCUCUUAGUAUUUGAUGACAUCCAUGUUGUUGUUGAAUUUAUUUUAUAUAGAGGUAGGAGUUCUUGG
rnacentral:lncRNA from 1 species